rnacentral:rRNA from 1 species
AUGAACGCUAGCUACAGGCUUAACACAUGCAAGUCGAGGGGCAGCAUGGUCUUAGCUUGCUAAGGCCGAUGGCGACCGGCGCACGGGUGAGUAACGCGUAUCCAACCUGCCUUACACUCUUGGACAGCCUUCUGAAAGGGAGAUUAAUACAAGAUGUUAUCAUGAGUAAGCAUUUUCGCAUGAUUAAAGGUUUACCGGUGUAAGAUGGGGAUGCGUUCCAUUAGAUAGUAGGCGGGGUAACGGCCCACCUAGUCUUCGAUGGAUAGGGGUUCUGAGAGGAAGGUCCCCCACAUUGGAACUGAGACACGGUCCAAACUCCUACGGGAGGCAGCAGUGAGGAAUAUUGGUCAAUGGACGAGAGUCUGAACCAGCCAAGUAGCGUGAAGGAUGAAGGUUCUAUGGAUUGUAAACUUCUUUUAUACGGGAAUAAACGGAUCCACGUGUGGAUUUUUGCAUGUACCGUAUGAAUAAGGAUCGGCUAACUCCGUGCCAGCAGCCGCGGUAAUACGGAGGAUCCGAGCGUUAUCCGGAUUUAUUGGGUUUAAAGGGAGCGUAGAUGGGUUGUUAAGUCAGUUGUGAAAGUUUGCGGCUCAACCGUAAAAUUGCAAUUGAUACUGGCAGUCUUGAGUACAGUUGAGGUAGGCGGAAUUCGUGGUGUAGCGGUGAAAUGCUUAGAUAUCACGAAGAACUCCGAUUGCGAAGGCAGCUUACUAACCUGUAACUGACAUUGAUGCUCGAAAGUGUGGGUAUCAAACAGGAUUAGAUACCCUGGUAGUCCACACGGUAAACGAUGAAUACUCGCUGUAGGCGAUAUACAGUCUGCGGCCAAGCGAAAGCAUUAAGUAUUCCACCUGGGGAGUACGCCGGCAACGGUGAAACUCAAAGGAAUUGACGGGGGCCCGCACAAGCGGAGGAACAUGUGGUUUAAUUCGAUGAUACGCGAGGAACCUUACCCGGGCUUAAAUUGCAACCGAAUAUGGCGGAAACGCUAUAGCUAGCAAUAGCGGUUGUGAAGGUGCUGCAUGGUUGUCGUCAGCUCGUGCCGUGAGGUGUCGGCUUAAGUGCCAUAACGAGCGCAACCCUUGCCGAUAGUUACUAACAGGUCAUGCUGAGGACUCUGUCGGGACUGCCAUCGUAAGAUGUGAGGAAGGUGGGGAUGACGUCAAAUCAGCACGGCCCUUACGUCCGGGGCUACACACGUGUUACAAUGGGGGGUACAGAAGGCAGCUACCUGGCGACAGGAUGCUAAUCCCAAAAACCUCUCUCAGUUCGGAUUGAAGUCUGCAACCCGACUUCAUGAAGCUGGAUUCGCUAGUAAUCGCGCAUCAGCCACGGCGCGGUGAAUACGUUCCCGGGCCUUGUACACACCGCCCGUCAAGCCAUGGGAGCCGGGGGUACCUGAAGUGCGUAACCGCAAGGAGCGCCCUAGGGUAAAACUGGUGACUGGGGCU